UACUGGGAUAGCUCAGUCGGUAGAGCAGGAGACUCGUAUUCUCAGAGCCGUGGGUUUGAGCCCAUGCUGGGUAA